CCUACGGGGGGCAGCAGUGGGGAAUAUUGGACAAUGGGGGCAACCCUGAUCCAGCCAUGCCGCGUGUGUGAAGAAGGCCCUCGGGUUGUAAAGCACUGUCAGUGAGGAAGAACGCCUGGUGGUUAAUACCCAUCAGGAAAGACAUCACUCACAGAAGAAGCACCGGCUAACUCCGUGCCAGCAGCCGCGGUAAUACGGAGGGUGCGAGCGUUAAUCGGAAUUACUGGGCGUAAAGCGCGCGUAGGUGGCUUGAUAAGCCGGUUGUGAAAGCCCCGGGCUCAACCUGGGAACGGCAUCCGGAACUGUCAAGCUAGAGUGCAGGAGAGGAAGGUAGAAUUCCCGGUGUAGCGGUGAAAUGCGUAGAGAUCGGGAGGAAUACCAGUGGCGAAGGCGGCCUUCUGGACUGACACUGACACUGAGGUGCGAAAGCGUGGGUAGCAAACAGGAUUAGAUACCCUAGUAGUC
rnacentral:rRNA from 1 species